rnacentral:rRNA from 1 species
GAUGAACGCUGGCGGCGUGCCUAAUACAUGCAAGUCGAGCGAACGGACGAGAGGCUUGCUUUUCUGAUGUUAGCGGCGGACGGGUGAGUAACACGUGGAUAACCUACCUAUAAGACUGGGAUAACUUCGGGAAACCGGAGCUAAUACCGGAUAAUAUUUUGAACCGCAUGGUUCAAAAGUGAAAGACGGUCUUGCUGUCACUUAUAGAUGGAUCCGCGCUGCAUUAGCUAGUUGGUAAGGUAACGGCUUACCAAGGCAACGAUGCAUAGCCGACCUGAGAGGGUGAUCGGCCACACUGGAACUGAGACACGGUCCAGACUCCUACGGGAGGCAGCAGUAGGGAAUCUUCCGCAAUGGGCGAAAGCCUGACGGAGCAACGCCGCGUGAGUGAUGAAGGUCUUCGGAUCGUAAAACUCUGUUAUUAGGGAAGAACAUAUGUGUAAGUAACUGUGCACAUCUUGACGGUACCUAAUCAGAAAGCCACGGCUAACUACGUG